AUGCCUCCCCUCCUCCGCUCCCCCGCGCCGCCGUCCGCCGGUGUCUUCUGCCGGCGGCGGAAAAGAAUGCGUGCGCGUGCAUCGUGGCAGGAGCUGGCGGGCGUGCUGGUGUUCUCCGCCGUCCCCUUCACCGCCGUCAAGGCCAUCGCCAACAGCCCCCUCGGCGCCAGCCUCCGCCGCCGCCUCGAGUCCAGGAAGGCCUCCGCCGCCGCCGAGGCAGACGCCCUCCGCGCCGCCGCCCGCGAGGCCCGCAGCUCCAGCUUUUGGUACGGGGGAGCUCGGCCGCGGUGGCUCGGUCCUCUCCGGUACGACUACCCGGAGCACCUGGUCGGAGAGUUCCCGGGCGAUUACGGCUUCGAUAUAGCAGGUCUGGGCCGGGACCCCGUUGCUUUCGCCAACUACUUCAACUUUGAGAUUUUACAUUGUCGAUGGGCCAUGCUUGCUGCUCUUGGUGUUGUUGUUCCUGAGCUGUUAGAUCUAUUUGGGAUAGUGCAUUUUGUGGAGCCUGUGUGGUGGAAAGUUGGUUAUGCAAAACUUCAGGGCGAUACUCUUGAUUACCUUGGGAUUCCUGGGUUCCGAAUUGCUGGUGGUCAAGGCAUCAUCGUCAUCGCUAUCUGUCAAGUCCUUUUGAUGGUUGGGCCAGAAUAUGCGAGAUACUGUGGGAUCGAGGCGCUAGAACCCUUGGGAAUAUAUCUUCCUGGGGACAUAAACUACCCAGGUGGAGCACUGUUCGAUCCCUUGGGGCUGUCCAAAGACCCUGUUGCGUUCGAAGAACUCAAGGUGAAGGAGAUCAAGAAUGGUCGUCUCGCAAUGGUUGCAUGGAUCGGAUUCUACGCCCAGGCUGCUGUAACCGGCAAGGGCCCUGUGCAGAACCUCGUCGAGCACUUGUCGGAUCCACUCCGCAACAACGUUUUAUCCCAUUUUCUUUGA
rnacentral:rRNA from 1 species